CUGCUAAGACCCGUCUUCCCACAUCUAAAACAAACUCCUCUUUGGCUCUGGAUAGCGCUUCUUUUACCUGAGUUCCUGCAAUCUUCUCCUUGCUGAGGUACUUGAACAGAAAACGCCAGCAGGUCCGGUGCCAAUAAGGAUUCAGGCUUGCGAAUCUCAUUAAGCCAGCGACUCGUAUGAAGUUCUUUGGUGUCAGACGGGCCCUGAAUAAGUGGAACCAGCUUCUCCUUUACGCCCUCCUCUGAACCUAAAAGACAAGGGUUGAAGACAAAUUACCAAUCAACCUCUUCACCUGCUGUCUGAGAGGCCCUCCCCAACCCCAGAUGGAAGAUGCGGUACAAAGAAAUGCAUCGGUCACUUUUUUAUCAUCGCACCCAACGGCUCAACAUACGGACGGCAUCUUUCACCAGAGCAGGUACUCAAUAUGGCCGCGGUCAGAUGCCUGCGAGGUAUGUACAUUAACACUGACAACAUGUCUUUGGAAUUUUCUUUCUAUUUUCUAUUUAGUUAACCCAAAAUACACUGUAAAUAUCUAGGAAAAACUACAUAUUUUGGCCCUUUAUUUUAUUUAGAAGUAUGAAAUUAAAACAGAAGCAGUGAAAUUCCCCCCUCCAUAAGUAAACUGUUAAAUUUCCUCCAACUGGAAGUUAAAUCCUAUCCUAUAUCCAGAUGCCUCACAUAUGACACUGACUGACUGUGCUGUCAGCUAAACCUCGAUAUGAAACACCUUCCAGCAAUGAAAGGCUCACCAACAUCAAAAGGAUAUAAAAGAGGGUUUGGUCCUAUAGGGUUACAAAAGCACAUGUUUAAAAGGUAACUGCUUUUCUUAUCAGUAUAUGACACUGUUAGAUGGGCACAUACUGCCAGGUUAUAAAUACGAUGGCAGGCGUUAACCUGUGCGAGCUAAAGGACCUACUGCUUUCAACCUGAUGACUGA